GGCAGUUGGUGAGAGAGGGAAAAAACAGAGAUUCAGUUGGAGGACAGUUGGUCAGAUGGUUAAGAGGGGACAGAGGAAGAGAUACCCCACGCUAUUACACAAAUAAGAGGGGGAAGAAGGUGAUCCUUGGUCUCAGGUCCUGCCACAACAGAUCUGAGUGGUGGCAGAUAUUUCACAGAGGUGUGGCAAGCAACCUGGGGGUAGGGAAGUGCAUCGGACCAGCUGGCCCGGUUCGGUUCAAAUCCGGACCUCCGUGGACCCCCCUGCCGUCUCCAGGAAUUCCCCCAAGGGGGAUAAGGCAUCCCUCACCAACCACGGUUUCCCCAAAUGUGGUUUUCUGAGUAUCCGGGAAUGGGAAAUUGUGACUGGUCUCACCAACCGCGACCCGAGUAUUGAUGUCGAUAUCGUGUUGAUUUGACUCCCACGUGUAUUUCUGUGUGAAGAGAAAAACCACAAAACAGAGUUAUACCUAAGGGAGAAGUCACAAAGCCCUGGAAACCCAUGCAACAGCAGCAGCAGCAGCAGCAGCAGCAGCAGCAGCAACACCACCACCACCACAAAUGGCUUACUGGAAGAAAAACCAAACAAACCCAACCCUGCAAAAAUAGGAUCUGCCUCCUCUCCUCUCAAGAGGUUUGGUACUAAAGAGGAGAAGGAGACCCAUUCAAAUGUAUAGCCCGCUCUUCCUCCAAGGAACUCAGAGCGGUGUUCAUCGUUAUGUUUAUCCUCACAACAACCCUGUGAGAAACAAACUACGUCCUCCUAAAACUCCACAGACCCCCAUUGUGUCCCCUGCACAAUUGUUAUUUUUUCCACUGCACAAAAUGCUGCAUGUUCGAAGAAACCUUGCAUAGCAGGGGGACACUGGUGUCGCAGCGACAGUAAUGCGUGGCGCUGCUUUCAAAUUGGACACCACAUUGGAAAAGAAGUAGCAGCUCCUGGCCUGAAAGGGAUGCGUAUUGACCAUCAGAUCCAACAAACUGCAGCCUUUUUCUUUUGGAAAAAUGGAGGAAUUAUCAGCGACCAAACAUUGACCCUUCUUGCUACACUAUUAACAUGUCCUGGAGCGUUUGAGAGACUGGACAGCUGACUGACAGGGGCUUGUUUCCAGCAUGAUCAACAGUGGUUGAGUCACUGUUCAAAGUUCGCCUCCUAAGUGCUCUAGAGCACUCCAGGCCUGAUGGGGAUGCAUGGCGCAGAGCCAGAAGUGUAUGGUUUAUGCUCCAGGAGGCCAGAUCCGUCUUAUGUACGUUCUCAGCUCUUUAAAGUUUUAUUCAUCACAAUUAAGCUGAACGAGAGCUGCUCCGUUGGGGCUAAUGAAUACAUGUUGCCUACAGUUCGGAGGCAGAGAGAUGCAACCAAAACCUGCGCUAGGAAUAAACUAGUACUACUACUACUACGACAAAUAUUUUUAUACCGCAAAAGAGUUGCAAGCAGCCAAGAUCAACAGCACUCUUCAUCAGGCUGGAUGUUAUGCAAAAACUAUAAAGGGGGAAGGGGAGAAAAAGAUGCUUCUCAGGCAGUGGCGGGCUCUCCUUUGCUGGAGGUUUUCAAACAGAGGCUGGAUGGCCACCUGUCAGGGAUGCUGCAGCCGAUGGCUGUACUGAGCAGGAGGUUGGACUACAAGACCUCCAAGGUCCCUUCCUGCUCUGAAAAAUCUAUGAUUCUGGGCAUAAUGGAUGGUCAGCUGACAAGGAUGCUGUAGCAGCUCCCUGCUCUGAGCACAGGGUUGGACUGCAGGAUCUCUACAGUCCCUUCUACAAUUCUAUUAAACCUACAUAGGGAAUGGUGAAAGGACUAGGUAGCUUUAGACUGGAGAACAGAGGAUUAAGGAGAUAUACGAUAGCCAUGCCCACAUAUGUCCUAUAGAAGAAGGAGUGGACUUGUCCUCUGUUUCUCCUGAGGGUUGGACUAGAAUCAAUGUUUUGAAAUGGCAAGGAAGCAGAUUUAGGCUAGAAACCUGGGCACUUCCCAGAUCACACGCUACAACAGAGGUGGUUUCCUUUGACUUGGCAGGAUUGUUUUGAAACCGUAAAUAAAGGGUGUUGCGUGA